AGCGAACGCUGGCGGCAGGCUUAACACAUGCAAGUCGAGCGGGCGUAGCAAUACGUCAGCGGCAGACGGGUGAGUAACGCGUGGGAACAUACCUUUUGGUUCGGAACAACACAGGGAAACUUGUGCUAAUACCGGAUAAGCCCUUACGGGGAAAGAUUUAUCGCCGAAAGAUUGGCCCGCGUCUGAUUAGCUAGUUGGUGAGGUAACGGCUCACCAAGGCGACGAUCAGUAGCUGGCUGAGAGGAUGAUCAGCCACAUUGGGACUGAGACACGGCCCAAACUCCUACGGGAGGCAGCAGUGGGGAAUAUUGGACAAUGGGCGAAAGCCUGAUCCAGCCAUGCCGCGUGAGUGAUGAAGGCCCUAGGGUUGUAAAGCUCUUUUGUGCGGGAAGAUAAUGACGGUACGCAAGAAUAAGCCCCGCUAACUUCGUGCCAGCAGCCGCAGUAAC
rnacentral:rRNA from 1 species